rnacentral:rRNA from 2 species
AGGGUGCAGGGCGGAUGCCUUGGCACUAGGAGCCGAUGAAGGACGUGAUAAGCUGCGAUAAGCUUCGGGGAGUUGCACGUAAACUUUGAUCCGAAGAUUUCCGAAUGAGGAAACUCACUUAGAGUAAUGUCUAAGUAUCAUUAAGUGAAUACAUAGCUUAAUGAGGGGAACUCAGGGAACUGAAACAUCUAAGUACCUGAAGGAAGAGAAAGAAAUUCGAUUCCGUAAGUAGCGGCGAGCGAACGCGGAUUAGCCCAAACCAAUAAAGUUUUCUUUAUUGGGGUUGCGGACAUAUCAUAACGAAGAGGUAUCGUAAUUGAAGAGGUUUGGAAAGACCCACCACAGAAGGUAAUAGUCCUGUAUGUUAAACGAGAAGACUUUAGAUAUGAUCCAGAGUACCACGGGACACGUGAAACCCUGUGGGAAGCAGGAGGGACCACCCUCCAAGGCUAAAUACUACCUAGUGACCGAUAGCGUAUAGUACCGUGAGGGAAAGGUGAAAAGAACCCCGGGAGGGGAGUGAAAUAGAACCUGAAACCCUGCACUUACAAGCUGUGGAAGCACAUUUCUUGUGUGACCGCGUACUUUUUGUAGAACGGGCCAACGAGUUACGUUAAGUAGCAAGGUUAAGCACUUAAGGUGCGGAGCCGUAGCGAAAGCGAGUUUUAACUGAGCGUUCAGUUACUUGACGUAGACCCGAAACCGGGCGACCUACCCAUGAGCAGGAUGAAGCGAAAGUAAAAUUUCGUGGAGGUCCGAACCCACGAGCGUUGAAAAGCUCGGGGAUGACUUGUGGGUAGCGGUGAAAUUCCAAUCGAGCCCGGAGAUAGCUGGUUCUCCCCGAAAUAGCUUUAGGGCUAGCCUCAAGGUGAGAGAUACGGAGGUAGAGCACUGAAUGUCCUAGGGGGUAUUGCACCUACCGAAGACUAUCAAACUCCGAAUGCCGUCAUCUUAUACUUGGGAGUCAGACUGUGGGUGAUAAGAUUCAUAGUCGAAAGGGCAACAGCCCAGAUCGUCAGCUAAGGUCCCUAAAUGUAAGUUAAGUGGUAAAGGAUGUGGGAUUGCACAGACAACCAGGAUGUUGGCUUAGAAGCAGCCACUCAUUCAAAGAGUGCGUAAUAGCUCACUGGUCGAGUGAUCCUGCGCCGAAGAUUUCCGGGGCUAAAACUUACUACCGAAGCUACGGCAUCAGUAAUGAUGGGUAGGGGAGCUUCCCAUACGGGUUGAAGCAUGACCGUAAGGACAUGUGGACAGUAUGGGAGUGAGAAUGUUGGCAUGAGUAGCGAGAUGUGGGUGAGAAUCCCACAGGCCGUAAACCCAAGGUUUCCAGGGGAAGGUUCGUCCGCCCUGGGUUAGUCGGGACCUAAGCUGAGGCCGAAAGGCGUAGGUGAUGGACAACAGGUUGAUAUUCCUGUACUACCGAUAACCGUUUGAGAGAAGGGAUGACACAGUAGGAUAAGCUAAGCACACUGUUGGUUAUGUGUGCCCAAGCAUUGAGGCAGUCAAAGUAGGCAAAUCCGCUUUGAUAAUGCUGGGAUGUGAUGGGGAGCGAAAUUUAGUAGCGAAGUAGCUGAUUUCACACUGUCAAGAAAAGUCUCUAUCGAGGUUAAAGGUACCCGUACCGCAAACCGACACAGGUGGGUGAGGAGAGUAUCCUAAGGCCAGCGAGAGAACUGUUGUUAAGGAACUCGGCAAAAUGACCCCGUAACUUAGGGAUAAGGGGUGCCACCAUCAGGUGGCCGCAGAGAAUAGGCCCAAGCGACUGUUUACCAAAAACAUAGGUUUCUGCUAAGUCGCAAGACGAUGUAUAGGAGCUGACGCCUGCCCGGUGCUGGAAGGUUAAGGGGAUCUGUUAGAGCAAUCGAAGCAGUGAACUUAAGCCCCAGUAAACGGCGGCCGUAACUAUAACGGUCCUAAGGUAGCGAAAUUCCUUGUCGGGUAAGUUCCGACCCGCACGAAAGGCGUAACGAUUUGGGCACUGUCUCAACAACAGACUCGGUGAAAUUGUAAUUCCGGUGAAGAUGCCGGAUACCUGCGACAGGACGGAAAGACCCCAUGGAGCUUUACUGUAGCUUGACAUUGGGUCUUGGUACUACAUGUACAGGAUAGGUGGGAGGCUUUGAAACCAGGACGCCAGUUUUGGCGGAGCCAUCCUUGGGAUACCACCCUUGUAGUACUGGGACUCUAACCAUAGGCCAUGAAUCUGGUCUUGGGACACUGUCAGGUGGGCAGUUUGACUGGGGCGGUCGCCUCCCAAAAGGUAACGGAGGCGCUCAAAGGUUCUCUCAGUACGGUCGGAAAUCGUACGUAGAGUGUAAAGGCAAAAGAGAGCUUGAUUGCAAGACAUACAGGUCGAGCAAGGAUGAAAAUCGGACUUAGUGAUCCGGUGGUUCUGCGUGGAAGGGCCAUCGCUCAACGGAUAAAAGCUACCCUGGGGAUAACAGGCUUAUCUCCCCCAAGAGUCCACAUCGACGGGGAGGUUUGGCACCUCGAUGUCGGCUCAUCACAUCCUGGGGCUGUAGUAGGUCCCAAGGGUUGGGCUGUUCGCCCAUUAAAGUGGUACGCGAGCUGGGUUCAGAACGUCGUGAGACAGUUCGGUCCCUAUCCGUCGCAGGCGUAGGAAAUUUGAGAAGACCUGUCCUUAGUACGAGAGGACCGGGAUGGACGUACCUCUGGUGUACCAGUUGUCCUGCCAAGGGCAUGGCUGGGUAGCUAUGUACGGAAUGGAUAAGCGCUGAAAGCAUCUAAGCGCGAAGCCAACUUCAAGAUAAGAUUUCCCACCGCAAGGGUAAGACCCCAGAAAGACUAUCUGGUUGAUAGGUCGAAGGUGUAAGUGCAGCAAUGUAUUUAGCUUAUCGAUACUAAUAGGUCGAGGACUUGACC